CGCGCAGUGCGGAAUACUGGACAAUGGGCGCAAGCCUGAUCCAGCCAUGCCGCGUGAGUGAUGAAGGCCUUAGGGAUCUAAAGCUCUUUUGUCCGGGACGAUAAUGACGGUACCGGAAGAAUAAGCCCCGGCUAACUUCGUGCCAGCAGCCGCGGUAAUACGAAGGGGGCUAGCGUUGCUCGGAAUCACUGGGCGUAAAGGGCGCGUAGGCGGCCAUUCAAGUCGGGGGUGAAAGCCUGUGGCUCAACCACAGAAUUGCAUUCGAUACUGUUUGGCUUGAGUUUGGUAGAGGUUGGUGGAAUUCCGAGUGUAGCGGUGAAAUUCGUAGAUAUUCGCAAGAACACCGGUGGCGAAGGCGGCCAACUGGACCAACACUGACGCUGAGGCGCGAAAGCGUGGGAGC
rnacentral:rRNA from 1 species